CUUAGUGUCGUGUCGAGGAAAGAAGUUGUCUCUAGUGGCUAAUUUUCACCAUUAAAUUCUUCUUUCAUGUCAUACUUGAGGACAAGUAUGAUCUAAGUGUGAGGGGAUUUGAUGUGUGUAUUUGAGUUACCUAGUUUAGUGUGUGUUUGCUAUGAGUUUUAUAUGCUUUUACAUGAUUUGUGGUAUUUUUGGUGCAGGAAUUAAAGAAUUGAUGUCGUUGGAGUUGAAUAGAAGAAUGAUGGAAAUGAAGAGAUUUUUGGUGCAAACUUAGAAGAUUAUUGUUAUUUAAAUGUUAAUCCAUAAAAGUGGCAAAAUAUUAGUGGGCUAGAAGUUUAUUAGUUUUAUUUAUUAAGCCCGUUAGUUACGAAUCUUUAAUUAGAUUUUGCAUUUGAUUGAAGUUUGUAACUUUGGCCCAUGGCCCCAUCUGUGACGUACAGUAGGUAUUAGGAAAUUGGAGGCAAGUUUGACUUUGGGGUAGAGAUAUAUAUAUUGGAGUAUUAAGAGACUUUAGGGGAUAUCACAGAAGGCGGCAGUAAUUGGAAGUUGGCGGCUGGAUUGGAGCAGAACACGUUUGGAGUUUCUUUUCUUCAUUAUUCGAUAAUUCGUACCUUUGUUUUGAUCUGGAGAUUUCGGACAAUGAUAUCGUCGCGAAAUAAAGAAUGCCAUAAAUCAAGCAAAUCAAGUGAAGCAAGUUGGAAUUGAUUGAAGACAAAUGACAAUCAAAGGAUUUGUUUGAGCUAUCUUUAGAAGACUGCAUCUUUCCUUUCAUUUUGAAAUAUUAUAUUUUCUUUUUUCUAUUGAGUGAUUACAAAUUUGUAAAGCCUAUUAAAGGCUGGGAGAUAAGGAGUAUGGUACACGAGUUGGAAGCAAGAAAAAUUCUUAGGGUGUUUGAGGAAUUCUGAAUAAAAAAUUUCCUAUUUCUUGUUA